GAUUUUUCUGCAAUGCUGGGGCAUCCAUAUUCAGCCUACAGGCCUAGUAUAUCUGACAGACUUUUCUGUGAAAGAGAUAUUCUGAAGGACUCCCCUACCUUAUCUUGGCAAAGUGUGGUGGUCCUGUGUGU